CCCUAUAGCUACGCCCCUGCCUCCAACUAGAGCCACCUACAGUUACUUGUUGCAGUGUUGAUUUCGUCGACGAAAACUAUGACGAAAAAUGUUCGUUAACGACCUUUUUUCCAUGACUAAGACGAGACUAAGACGAUCUUAAAAAAUAAAAACUAUGACUAAAUCUAUUCUAAAUUCGCUAACAGACAGGCAAAGUACGGCCCGUACGGCGGAUAUUAACGUGUCAUGAUGACGUCAUCCACGAACCCAGAACGCUCGCUCACAUCGGUGCAGCGGUGGUUCUUGUGCACCGACUACGGACCGCGACGACUAUUUUACGCUUUGGUUCUGAAGCCUCACGCAUCGACCGUGAGACACACGCAUUUCAACUAUAGUUCACACGCCAUAUCGUGAGAAGACGGUGUUAAACCGUCUCGGCCACCGUACGUUCGUUACUAAGCAACAUAGAGGCGCCAACACACGUGACAGGUGGAUCCUUUUGAUAGAACUGCGCAGUGCCGGUGAAGGAUGUGGCGGGACACAGAGCAGAUGGAGGAAAACCUGCAGGACACAAGAGAGAAGAACUGGUCAUGAAAACAACAAAUAAACAAAAACAGACUGUUGAAUGAAAAGUGGGGGUCCAGUUUAGAAAGGCUGGUUUAUGAUGCAGCCAAGAAAAUAAUGUAUUGCACCGAUUGUAGGACGUUAAGGGGUCUCUUUUGUUGGGACAAGCAAUUUCACAGUGGAAACAAUAAAGGACCAUGAAGUUUCAAAAGCAUUGCAAGUAAACAGACAAAGACAACAAAGUGUUGCGUUUAGAUCCCUGGUCCUCAUGAAGUUGUUACACCUGUGCCAAUUUGUUAAAUUGCCUUGCAAAUAAAGGCUUUGCUAUUUGUUAAAAUCCAAAUCCUUUCAUGUAAUGAUUUUUCACAUUUAUAUUAUCUCACAAAACACUUUAACCAUUUGUUCUUGGCCCGGCUCCUCCAUCAAAUUUUACAACCCAUUGUGGUCAAAAGGUUUGCUGACCCCUGCUAUAGACCUGUCCCAGGAGGGAUAUCUGGAGGCUGUUAGGUGUGCCGUGAAAAAAAAAACAUUUUUUACAUACUGUCACUUCAUUGGUGAAAAAGAAAAAGAGCCAACUUGUGUGUGUGUGUGU
ensembl:lncRNA